rnacentral:rRNA from 1 species
UACGUAGGGGGCGAGCGUUGUCCGGAAUCAUUGGGCGUAAAGAGCGUGUAGGCGGACCUGAAGGUCUGGUGUGAAAGUCAAAGGCUCAACCUUUGAAAGCCGGUGGAUACUGUGGGGCUAGAGUCCGGAAGAGGCGAGUGGAAUUCCUGGUGUAGCGGUGGAAUGCGCAGAUAUCAGGAGGAACACCAAUAGCGAAGGCAGCUCGCUGGGACGGUACUGACGCUAAGGCGCGAAAGCGUGGGGAGCGAACAGG